rnacentral:lncRNA from 1 species
AUGCAUCGCUCAUGUGCGUCCGACCUUUUCUUUUGUUACACAGGCUGCUUGGCACCGCUUCCUGUAGGUGUGAAUGCCUCCAGGUCCUGCAGGCCGAGGCCCAUGAGAACCUUUCUGACGGAGCGCUGGGCUGACACACUGCGGUUUGCUCUGCAGCAGCAGAUGGAGGUGAAGUGUGAAAGGAGAAAACCCUGUCAGCGCGCGGAGACGAAUCCGAAACGAGUGGGAGUGGCUGCACCUCGGGUUCGGAGCACAGCGUUGCUGAAGAGGUGCGGUAGCGCUGUGAUAGUGGGAAACAUUGACGAACUAAGUGGCAGAAGUGGAGUCGUUAUUCUAAGGAAGGAAGAGCUUCGUCAGCAUCGAACCACGGCAGCACCGAAGGCGUCUACACCUGACCUCCACAUGAAGGUCACAGAUGCUGAACCGCGGGAGCUGAAACGAAGCAGGGAGACGUCUGGACCAACAUCUUCCUGCUGAGGCCGUUCAAUGAGCCGAGGACCGGCAGCUUCGCUCAGCAGGACUGGACCCAGCCCUGUAAGUAAAAACAUGAAGCCUCUGUGUUUAUGGUGGUGGCGGUGCUCUGUCGCGUUAAAGCCACCUCUGAGAUUAAAGCCUCGUCUGGUCGACGUCCCAGACUGAAAGAUGGCAGCAGCCGCAUGGGGCCGACGCGCCGCCCAGUGGCUGCUGCGCCCUGGACCUGCGAUGGGACUCCUCCUCCGGGAGCUUCUACACAAGAUCGGUCUUCCAGUGUCCGUGACCGAAAUACUGAGCUGUGUACGAGUGAUGUCCAGCUUUUGAUGAGACCGCUGGAGCCUGCAUAAAUCUUGGUGGGUUGUCAUGGCUGCUCUGAAUAAAACCACCAGCCUCACGCUCUCA